AUUGAACGCUGGCGGCAUGCUUUACACAUGCAAGUCGAACGGUAACAGGUUAAGCUGACGAGUGGCGAACGGGUGAGUAAUGCAUCGGAACGUGCCCAGUCGUGGGGGAUAACGCAGCGAAAGCUGUGCUAAUACCGCAUACGAUCUCUGGAUGAAAGCGGGGGACCGAAAGGCCUCGCGCGAUUGGAGCGGCCGAUGUCAGAUUAGGUAGUUGGUGGGGUAAAGGCCCACCAAGCCAACGAUCUGUAGCUGGUCUGAGAGGACGACCAGCCACACUGGGACUGAGACACGGCCCAGACUCCUACGGGAGGCAGCAGUGGGGAAUUUUGGACAAUGGGGGUAACCCUGAUCCAGCAAUGCCGCGUGCAGGAAGAAGGCCUUCGGGUUGUAAACUGCUUUUGUACGGAACGAAAAGCUCUGGGCUAAUACCUUGGGGUCAUGACGGUACCGUAAGAAUAAGCACCGGCUAACUACGUGCCAGCAGCCGCGGUAA
rnacentral:rRNA from 1 species